GCACUGCUGAAGAGUCCCAUAAUAUGACGAAACGACCGUCCAGUGC
rnacentral:hammerhead_ribozyme from 1 species